AUUGAACGCUGGCGGCAUGCCUUACACAUGCAAGUCGAACGGCAGCAUGAUCUAGCUUGCUAGAUUGAUGGCGAGUGGCGAACGGGUGAGUAAUACAUCGGAAUGUACCUUGUAGUGGGGGAUAGCUCGGCGAAAGCCGGAUUAAUACCGCAUACGCUCUGAGGAGGAAAGCGGGGGACCUUCGGGCCUCGUGCUACAAGAGCAGCCGAUGUCAGAUUAGCUUGUUGGUGAGGUAAAAGCUCACCAAGGCGACGAUCUGUAGCUGGUCUGAGAGGACGACCAGCCACACUGGGACUGAGACACGGCCCAGACUCCUACGGGAGGCAGCAGUGGGGAAUUUUGGACAAUGGGCGAAAGCCUGAUCCAGCAAUGCCG
rnacentral:rRNA from 1 species